rnacentral:SRP_RNA from 1 species
GCCAGGUGUGGUGGUGGGCGCCUGUAAUCCCAGCUACUGGGGAGGCUGAGGCAGGAGAAUUGCUUGAACCUGGGAGGUGGAGGUUGCAGUGAGCGGAGAUCACUCCACUGCACUCCAGCCUGGGUAACAAAGCAAGACUCUGUCUCAA